rnacentral:rRNA from 1 species
AAGGAUCAUUACCGAGUGAGGGCCCUCUGGGUCCAACCUCCCACCCGUGUUUAUUGUACCUUGUUGCUUCGGUGGGCCCGCCUCACGGCCGCCGGGGGGCAUCUGCUCCCGGGCCCGCGCCCACCGAAGACACCUAGAACUCUGUCUGAAGAUUGAAGUCUGAGUGAAAUUAUAAAUUAUUUAAAACUUUCAACAACGGAUCUCUUGGUUCCGGCAUCGAUGAAGAACGCAGCGAAAUGCGAUACGUAAUGUGAAUUGCAGAAUUCAGUGAAUCAUCGAGUCUUUGAACGCACAUUGCGCCCUCUGGUAUUCCGGAGGGCAUGCCUGUCCGAGCGUCAUUGCUGCCCUCAAGCACGGCUUGUGUGUUGGGCCCCGUCCUCCGCUCCCGGGGGACGGGCCCGAAAGGCAGCGGCGGCACCGCGUCCGGUCCUCGAGCGUAUGGGGCUUUGUCACCCGCUCUGUAGGCCCGGCCGGCGCUUGCCGAUCAACCAAACUUUUUUCCAGGUUGACCUCGGAUCAGGUAGGGAUACCCGCUGAACUUAA